rnacentral:rRNA from 1 species
AUUGAACGCUAGCGGGAUGCUUUACACAUGCAAGUCGAACGAGUGGCGGACGGGUGAGUAAUAUAUCGGAACGUGCCCAGUAGCGGGGGAUAACUACUCGAAAGAGUGGCUAAUACUGCAUACUAUUGGAGCGGCCGAUAUCGGAUUAGCUAGUUGGUGGGGUAAAGGCUAACCAAGGCAACGAUCCGUAGCUGGUGUGAGAGGACGCCCAGCCACACUGGAACUGAGACACGGCCCAGACUCCUACGUGAGGUAGCAGUGGGGAAUUUUGGACAAUGGGGGAAACCCUGAUCCAGCCAUGCCGCGUGUGUGAGAAGGCCUUCGGGUUGUAAAGUCCUUCUGGCAGAGAAGCGGUAUCUGCAGAAUAAGCACCGGCUAACUACGUGCCAGCAGCCGCGGUAAUUC